UACGUAGGGUGCGAGCGUUGUCCGGAAUCACUGGGCGUAAAGGGCGCGUAGGCGGCCUGCUAAGUCGAACGUGAAAUCCCUGGGCUCAACCCAGGAACUGCGUCCGGUACUGGUUGGCUUGAAUCCGGGAGAGGGACGUGGAAUUCCAGGUGUAGCGGUGAAAUGCGUAGAUAUCUGGAGGAACACCGGUGGCGAAGGCGACGUCCUGGACCGGCAUUGACGCUGAGGCGCGAAAGCCAGGGGAGCAAACGGG
rnacentral:rRNA from 1 species